rnacentral:rRNA from 1 species
CUACGGGAGGCACCAGGCGAGAAAACUUUGCAAUGUGCGAAAGCACGACAAGGUUAAUCCGAGUGGUUUCUGCUAAAGAAACCUUUUGUCAGUCCUAGAAACACUGAUGAAUAAGGGGUGGGCAAGUUCUGGUGUCAGCCGCCGCGGUAAAACCAGCACCUCAAGUGGUCAGGAUGAUUAUUGGGCCUAAAGCAUCCGUAGCUCGUUUUGUAAGUUUUCGGUUAAAUCCAUGCGCUUAACGUAUGGGCUGCCGGGAAUACUGCAUAACUAGGAAGUGGGAGAGGUAGACGGUACUCGGUAGGAAGGGGUAAAAUCCUUUGAUCUAUUGAUGACCACCUGUGGCGAAGGCGGUCUACCAGAACACGUUCGACGGUGAGGGAUGAAAGCUGGGGGAGCAAACCGGAUUAGAUACCCUUGUAGUC